ACGAACGCUGGCGGCGUGCCUAAUACAUGCAAGUUGAGCGCUGAAGGUUGGUACUUGUACCGACUGGAUGAGCAGCGAACGGGUGAGUAACGCGUGGGGAAUCUGCCUUUGAGCGGGGGACAACAUUUGGAAACGAAUGCUAAUACCGCAUAAAAACUUUAAACACAAGUUUUAAGUUUGAAAGAUGCAAUUGCAUCACUCAAAGAUGAUCCCGCGUUGUAUUAGCUAGUUGGUGAGGUAAAGACUCACCAAGGCGAUGAUACAUAGCCGACCUGAGAGGGUGAUCGGCCACAUUGGGACUGAGACACGGCCCAAACUCCUACGGGAGGCAGCAGUAGGGAAUCUUCGGCAAUGGACGAAAGUCUGACCGAGCAACGCCGCGUGAGUGAAGAAGGUUUUCGGAUCGUAAAACUCUGUUGGUAGAGAAGAACGUUGGUGAGAGUGGAAAGCUCAUCAAGUGACGGUAACUACCCAGAAAGGGACGGCUAACUACGUG
rnacentral:rRNA from 1 species